rnacentral:rRNA from 1 species
CUACGGGUUGCUGCAGUGGGGAAUAUUGGACAAUGGGGGAAACCCUGAUCCAGCAAUGCCGCGUGUGUGAAGAAGGCCUGCGGGUUGUAAAGCACUUUCGGUUGGGAGGACUGCUUCUAGCACUAAUAUUGUUGGAAGUUGACGUUACCUUCAGAAGAAGCACCGGCUAACUCCGUGCCAGCAGCCGCGGUAAUACGGGAGGGUGCAAGAGUUAAUCGGAAUUACUGGGCGUAAAGCGCGCGUAGGCGGCUAGAUCAGUCGGGUGUGAAAGCCCCGGGCUUAACCUGGGAACUGCAUCCGAUACUGUCUAGCUUGAGUACAGGAGAGGAGAGUGGAAUUCCACAUGUAGCGGUGAAAUGCGUAGAUAUGUGGAGGAACACCAAUGGCGAAGGCAGCUCUCUGGCCUGAUACUGACGCUGAGGUGCGAAAGCGUGGGGAGCAAACAGGAUUAGAUACCCUAGUAGUC